CGCUUCGGUUUCUUAUCUCUGCAUAAAUCUUUUCGCUUUUACUAAAGAUUUCCGCGGAGGGGAACUGCCCCGAAGCUUAUUUGUAUUUUUGAAGCUCUGCUUCGGCGGAGCU